AAGGGAAUCUUCCGCAAUGGACGCAAGUCUGACGGAGCAACGCCGCGUGAGUGAAGAAGGAUUUCGGUUCGUAAAACUCUGUUGUUAGAGAAGAACAGCGCAUAGAGUAACUGUUAUGCGUGUGACGGUAUCUAACCAGAAAGCCACGGCUAACUACGUGCCAGCAUCCGCGGUAAUACGUAGGUGGCAAGCGUUGUCCUGAUUUAUUGGGCGUAAAGCGAGCGAAGGCGGUCAAUUAAGUCUGAUGUGAAAGCCCCCGGCUCAACCGGGGAGGGUCAUUGGAAACUUGUUGACUUGAGUGCAGAAGAGGAGAGUGGAAUUCCAUGUGUAGCGGUGAAAUGCGUAGAUAUAUGGAGGCAUACCAGUGGCGAUGGCGACUCUUUGAUCUGUAACUGACGCAGAGGCUCGAAAGCGUGUGUAGCGAAUAGG
rnacentral:rRNA from 1 species